rnacentral:rRNA from 1 species
AGCAGCCGCGGUAAUUCCAGCUCCAAUGGCGUAUAUUAAAGUUGUUGCAGUUAAAAAGCUCGUAGUUGAAUUUCGGGAGCCGCGGGUCGGUUGGGCUUAACUGUCCAUCACUGGCUCCGCGGGUCUCUUACCUUCUGGCGAGGUCAGAUGUCAUUUAUUUGGUGUCUGGCGGAACCAGGACCAUUACCUUGAAAAAUUAGAGUGUUUAAAGCAGGCUUUAUCGUCUGAAUACAUUAGCAUGGAAUAAUAAAAUAGGACGGCUAAGGGUUCUAUUUUGUUGGUUUCUAGGACCACCGUAAUGAUUAAUAGGGAUAGUUGGGGGCAUUAGUAUUCAAUUGUCAGAGGUGAAAUUCUUGGAUUUAUUGAAGACUAACUACUGCGAAAGCAUUUGCCAAGGAUGUUUUCAUUAAUCAAGAACGAAAGUUAGGGGAUCGAAGACGAUCAGAUACCGUCGUAGUCUUAACCAUAAACUAUGCCGACUAGGUUUCGGGCGAUGUUAAAUUAUUUUAUGACUCG